CAUGCCCUGGGGUUUUGGUGUUUGCAGGUACCAUUUUUGAGCCAACAUACUCAAAAACGGGAGCAACUUAGUGUAUCCUGUUGAGCAAGCCCGAGAUUUGUCGGGAAGCCUGAUGGAUGCCAAGAUGCACCCACCUGGUACGCCAGGUUCAAAAUGGCCUGCAACACGGACCCCCGGGGUUUGC
rnacentral:other from 1 species